rnacentral:rRNA from 1 species
AGUGAACGCUGGCGGUAGGCCUAACACAUGCAAGUCGAACGGCAGCACAGUAAGAGCUUGCUCUUACGGGUGGCGGGGGGCGGACGGGUGAGGAAUACAUCGGAAGCUACUUUUUCGUGGGGGGUAACGUAGGGAAACUUACGCUAAUACCGCAUACGACAUACGGGUGAAAGCAGGGGAUCUUCGGACCUUGCGCGAUUGAAUGAGCCGAUGUCGGAUUAGCUAGUUGGCGGGGUAAAGGCCCACCAAGGCGACGAUCCGUAGCUGGUCUGAGAGGAUGAUCAGCCACACUGGAACUGAGACACGGUCCAGACUCCUACGGGAGGCAGCAGUGGGGAAUAUUGGACAAUGGGCGCAAGCCUGAUCCAGCCAUACCGCGUGGGUGAAGAAGGCCUUCGGGUUGUAAAGCCCUUUUGUUGGGAAAGAAAAGCAGCAGGUUAAUACCCCGCUGUUCUGACGGUACCCAAAGAAUAAGCACCGGCUAACUUCGUG